UAUUGGUUUGAGGCAAUAAAAAAAUCAAAGGAUGAUUGUAAUUAUAUUAAAUAAGCACUGUAAGAGUUUUAUUUUGUUUUCUUGUAGGAAACUGAAGUCUGGUAAAUACUUUAUCUGCAGUGCACUUCAACCACGACUCCAGGAGGUGGAAGGAGCCUAGUGUUACACUGACAAACAAGGAUGUGCUAUCAAGUGCCAACAGCAAGCAGGACCGGAUAUAGUUUACGAGGCGAUGGUGUUCGAGUCACAGGAAGAGACCUGAAGACAUAACCUCCUGUGAGAGGACGGAGCAGCCAAUAUCACCAAUGCUCCAGUGGGCCGUGCGUCCUGAUCGCUCCAACUCCGCCCACCGCAGCCUCUGACGCGCAGAGAUCCAUCCGGAGGGAGCAGCUGCUUCCAAAGUUACAGAAGAUCAAUAAAAUACGACUAUUUGCUUUAUGGGGGGGAAAUUGUGAAAUAAAUAAUGUGAAAAUGUAAUAAUAUGACGAUUUAAAAAGGGAAAAAAUUCUAUCUAUCUAUCUGUUUUUAGUUGAUGUAGAAAUAAUUACAGGUACAAUUUAGAUUUUAGAAAUUAAAGACUAAACUUCUUACUUUUUAUUCUGAUCUGUAAAGAAUUCAAAAAUAAAACACAUAAAAAAACAAUUUGUGGUAAUAACAUUACAAAAGGCGCAGGUGAAAUCUAACAACUGUCUUAUAAUUGUUGAAAUAUUCAUUGUACUGCAGUACAGAAAACUAAUUUUAUUCUUAAAGUGUCAUAAAAUAAAAUGUAUUUGGUUAACUUUGAA